rnacentral:rRNA from 1 species
UACAGGGGGUGCAAACGUUGUUCGGAUUUACUGGGCGUAAAGCGCACGUAGGCGGUCUGCUAUGUCGGAUGGGAAAGCCCUUGGCUUAACUGAGGAAGUGCAUCCGAAACUGGCAGGCUAGAGUACUAAAGAGGGUCGCGGAAUUCCCGGUGUAGAGGUUAAAUUCGUAGAUAUCGGGAGGAACACCGGUGGCGAAGGCGGCGACCUGGGUAGAUACUGACGCUGAGGUGCGAAAGCGUGGGGAGCAAACAGG